AAAAACUUACAGAGAACAGACUUUGCACAAUGGCGUUGUCUUUACUUUCUAGACCCAGUGGGCUGCCUAGCAUUUUGAAAGCACCUUAAUAUCAUUUUGGGGUUCAUUCAGAGGCCAGCAGAGGCACAGAGGAGAGAAAUCUUUGAGGGGAUUGGAGGACAAAAAAAUAAAAUAAAACAGGGAAACACAGGAUAAACACUUCAUCUUUGAUGAGUUUGUUGAUGGCCUCCACCUGUCACUCAAAUUGGGUGUUAUCGUCAUGGAGAUGCCACGGCUCAUGCGCUCAUCCACAAUCCAUCAAUUCAUAUUUGCGUUCCAAUCCUGGACCUGAUUACCGCACGGGACACCCAGAUAAAUGUGUGUGUGUGUGUGUGUGUGUAUUUGGGUGCUUCAAAAUUGAAAUAAAAAAUGUGUA